UCCACAACAGCAGCGGUGUCCCUUACAACAGAACUCACUAUGACCAAACUGACCGCCACAAGGAUUAACAAUCUCCUUCGCACUGUUCAUGCCUUGGUGAAAUGGUCCAAGAGGCUGCCAGACAUCGUCUGGAUGUGUCAUUGAUCUGGUGGAGCCAGGAACCGUUCCGCAAUUGCUCCUCUCCAACAUGAGAAACCGUCCUCUGACCCAUGACGACGUUAACUCCAUGAGCGAGUCCAUCCUGAGCCUCUACCACAACCUGCUCACGGGAUCCAGAGAGUUCCCCAUGAUCAAGGCCGACAACAUUGUCAGCUUGAUGUAUGUGUUUUGUCCUUUUGACGAGGAGAUGGAGCCAGACAACUGGGAGAACGCCACACCAUCUCCCUUCACCCGCACACCACCUGGCAUGCUGGCUCCGGCUGCAGGCGCUCCCAUUCGACGGAUCUUCACUCCAGUUAUCCCCGAGAAAGCGGAUAUGGAAGUGCUGAAGGGGGACCGUAGAAACUGUGUCCACACUUUGGAGUCCGGCGAUGGGAGCACUUUUACGAGAGUCAUCUCCCCUGUUUAUCGAUCACGAGACAAGCAGCUCACAAACCGGUGGAGAGUCACCAACUAUGAUGCAUCUGGCCAGCUCACCAUGUCUGUCCUCUGCCACUUCAUGAGACACACAGUCCAGCUGGCAAAGUCAAAGAGAAAGCAACAAGAGGAAGACAGCGUCAGCAUCACCAGCAGCCCUUCUCCACCAAGAAAGAGAGUUAGAGUUUGAGCUACAAGGACAAGAUGAGCUGCAAACAUGUGAAGAAACAAGAGAGAGAAAGACACCAUCCACUGCAGCCACUCUCUCUAAAACU